CAGCCGCCGCGGUAAUACGAGGGGAGCUAGCGUUAUUCGGAAUUACUGGGCGUAAAGCGCACGUAGGCGGCUUUGUAAGUUAGAGGUGAAAGCCCAGAGCUCAACUCUGGAAUUGCCUUUAAGACUGUAUCGCUUGAAUCCAGGAGAGGUGAGUGGAAUUCCGAGUGUAGAGGUGAAAUUCGUAGAUAUUCGGAAGAACACCAGUGGCGAAGGCGGCUCACUGGACUGGUAUUGACGCUGAGGUGCGAAAGCGUGGGGAGCAAACAGGAUUAGAUACCCCUGUAGUCCCUGUCUCUUAUAC
rnacentral:rRNA from 1 species